GCUUUCAUAGCUUAGUGGUAGAUUACUGGUGUGUUAAUCUAGAGGCCUGGGUUCGAUUCCCGGUGAGGGAG
rnacentral:tRNA from 1 species